UGGCUCAGUGGUAGAGCGCUAGCCUUGCACGCCUGAGGCCCUGGGUUCGAUUCCUCAG
rnacentral:tRNA from 1 species